GACGAACGCUGGCGGCGUGCCUAACACAUGCAAGUCGAACGGAGAUACGAUUUCGGUUGUAUCUUAGUGGCGAACGGGUGAGUAACGCGUGAACAACCUGACUCUUAGAGGGGGAUAACACUCGGAAACGGGUGCUAAUACCGCAUAAGACCACGACCCGGCAUCGGGAUGAGGUCAAAGGAGCAAUCCGCUGAGAGAGGGGUUCGCGUCCCAUUAGAUAGAUGGCGGGGUAACGGCCCACCAUGUCGACGAUGGGUAGCCGAGCUGAGAGGCUGAUCGGCCACACUGGAACUGAGACACGGUCCAGACUCCUACGGGAGGCAGCAGUGGGGAAUAUUGGGCAAUGGGCGCAAGCCUGACCCAGCAACGCCGCGUGAGGGAAGAAGGCUUUCGGGUUGUAAACCUCUGUCCUUGGUGACGAAACAAAUGACGGUAGCCAAGGAGGAAGCCCCGGCUAACUACGUGCCAGCCGCCGCCGUAACAC
rnacentral:rRNA from 1 species